GGGCUGUUAGCUCAGUUGGUAGAGCAGCGGACUCUUAAUCCGUUGGUCGAAGGUUCGAAUCCUUCACGGCCCACCA
rnacentral:tRNA from 1 species